CNCAANGCUAGCUACAGGCUUAACACAUGCAAGUCGAGGGGCAGCAUGAGAUUAGCUUGCUAAUCUUGAUGGCGACCGGCGCACGGGUGAGUAACGCGUAUCCAACCUUCCCCUUAGUAGGGCAUAGCCCGGCGAAAGUCGGAUUAAUACCCUAUGUCAUCCGAAGAGGACAUCUGAAUUGGAUUAAAGAUUCAUCGCUAAGGGAUGGGGAUGCGUCUGAUUAGGUUGUUGGCGGGGUAACGGCCCACCAAGCCGACGAUCAGUAGGGGUUCUGANAGGAAGGUCCCCCACAUUGGAACUGANACACGGUCCAAACUCCUACGGGAGGCAGCAGUGAGGAAUAUUGGUCAAUGGGCGAAANCCUGAACCAGCCAAGUUACGUGCANGAUGACNGNCCUAUGGGUUGUUAACUGCUUUUAUGCGGGAAUAAANUGAAGGACUUNUCCCUUUUUGUAGGUNCNCAUGAAU
rnacentral:rRNA from 1 species